UUCAGGGCUUUGCAUUUGAACUCCUAUGACUGGUUGCGGUCUUGAAGGGAAUGACUUCCUGGCCUUCCUGACAUCCAGGAAAAUGUUUUAUUGGACAGUAGAGAUCUAAUGGAAACAGUGGAGAGGGAGGAGAUGAUAUGCAGCAAAAGGCCGAGCCGGAUGGUUGCUGCUCCAUGUGGAACGUGUUCUAUCAGGUGUAACAUCUACCAAUGGUUGUACAUAGACCUCCUCCACCUCUUUGCU